rnacentral:rRNA from 1 species
AACGAACGCUGGCGGCAUGCCUAACACAUGCAAGUCGAACGAACCCUUCGGGGUUAGUGGCGCACGGGUGCGUAACACGUGGGAAUCUGCCCUUAGGUACGGAAUAACAGUUAGAAAUGACUGCUAAUACCGUAUGAUGACUCCGGUCCAAAGAUUUAUCGCCUAGGGAUGAGCCCGCGUCGGAUUAGCUAGUUGGUGAGGUAAAGGCUCACCAGGGCGACGAUCCGUAGCUGGUCUGAGAGGAUGAUCAGCCAUACUGGGACUGAGACACGGCCCAGACUCCUACGGGAGGCAGCAGUGGGGAAUAUUGGACAAUGGGCGAAAGCCUGAUCCAGCAAUGCCGCGUGAGUGAUGAAGGCCUUAGGGUUGUAAAGCUCUUUUACCCGGGAUGAUAAUGACAGUACCGGGAGAAUAAGCCCCGGCUAACUCCGUGCCAGCAGCCGCGGUAAU